rnacentral:rRNA from 1 species
UGGGGAAUAUUGCACAAUGGGCGCAAGCCUGAUGCAGCCAUGCCGCGUGUGUGAAGAAGGCCUUCGGGUUGUAAAGCACUUUCAGCGAGGAGGAAGGUGGGUGAGCUUAAUACGCUCAUCAAUUGACGUUACUCGCAGAAGAAGCACCGGCUAACUCCGUGCCAGCAGCCGCGGUAAUACGGAGGGUGCAAGCGUUAAUCGGAAUUACUGGGCGUAAAGCGCACGCAGGCGGUUUGUUAAGUCAGAUGUGAAAUCCCCGGGCUCAACCUGGGAACUGCAUUUGAAACUGGCAAGCUAGAGUCUCGUAGAGGGGGGUAGAAUUCCAGGUGUAGCGGUGAAAUGCGUAGAGAUCUGGAGGAAUACCGGUGGCGAAGGCGGCCCCCCUGGACGAAGACUGACGCUCAGGUGCGAAAAGCGUGGGGAGCAAACAGGAUUAGAUACCCCUGGUAGUCCAGCGCUGUAAAACGAUGUCGAUUUUGGAGGUUGUGCCCUUGAGGCGUGGCUUCCGGAGCUAACGCGUUAAAUCGACCGCCUGGGGAGUACGGCCGCAAGGUUAAAACUCAAAGGAA